rnacentral:lncRNA from 1 species
CCGAAAAUCCCGAAGAUGACUGUGAGAGGGAUAUGCCCGAUAUUCCACGCCACAGUAGUGGAAGACUGGCGAGGAUAAAAUCGUAAUCCCAUCAUUACGAUUUUACUUACUGACAGUUUUUCCCUAAAAAGGAUCUACCGCAAUUACUAAAGAUCAGUAAAAAACAAACCACACCGUCCCACUAAGAGGGUUAAACGGUAAAUUUACAAGUAUCACGUAAUAAUAAUUUUGACGAAAAGAUAUCACGUAAUUAAAUAUGACGUGGCAUCAUCGCGUCUAGUCACACCUUUUCUUCUUUGGACUCUUCAGCUUCGUCUAUCUCUGUGCACCUAUAUAAUCAACCAAUCUGGCUUUACCGUAAACAGAAGAAAAAUUAUUACUAUAGUCGGGGAAUUGAUUCUCGCCGGAGAAAUGAAUAUUCCGGUUACUUUUACCUCUGUGACCGUUCAUAGUAUCGCUGUUUCCGACACUCGCCGUCAUGUGUUCCGUGAAACUCGUCGCUGUUAAGAAACU